rnacentral:tRNA from 1 species
AAACAUGUGGCAGAGUAGUUAAGGCGAUGGACUGCUAAUCCAUUGUGCUCUGCAUGUGUGGGUUUGAAUCCCUUCCUCGUUAA